rnacentral:rRNA from 1 species
UACAGAGGGGGCGAGCGUUGUUCGGAAUUACUGGGCGUAAAGGGCGCGUAGGCGGCUUUGUAAGUCGGGGGUGAAAGCCUGUGGCUCAACCACAGAAUUGCCUUCGAUACUGCAUGGCUUGAGACCGGAAGAGGUAAGUGGAACUGCGAGUGUAGAGGUGAAAUUCGUAGAUAUUCGCAAGAACACCAGUGGCGAAGGCGGCUUACUGGUCCGGUUCUGACGCUGAGGCGCGAAAGCGUGGGGAGCAAACAGG